GCGGGGGUAUCCGAGCCAGUUCAAAGGAGCAGGAUUCAGAUUCCUGUCGUGUAGACGUUCGGGAGUUAAAAUCUCCCCUCCCGCA
rnacentral:tRNA from 1 species